CACCUCUCAGGUUCGCAAUUAGAGAGUUUCCAGUGCACUACCAGUCUCGACUAUGGGAGGGAGAGUCAAGCAGAGGCCUAACCAUACCAUUCCUAGCUUGGCCAGUGGCUAGCGAGUGGAAGGCAAUCUGCUACAAGU